UGCCUGGCUUUUAAUCUGCUAGGUUUAUGAUAACUAUGGGAAACAGCAGUACGGAGAGGCUGGGGGCUACGGCCGCUGCCCUUCUGGGGGCUGCUGACAGUGAUUCUUCGUCUACCCUUGAGAAAGAUGGGGAUAACUUCCCGGAUAUAAGGAUGACAAAAUCCUUCCUUGAGAGUGGAACCUGUCGAGGACUAUCCGGGUUCUGUGUUUGGUCUGCUCUCUUCAUCACGGGAUACCAAAUAUUCCAGUAUCUCAGAUACUACACCAACCCGGCGGAACAACGAUGGAUCAUAAGAAUCCUGUUUAUUGUUCCUGUGUACGCCCUGACCAGCUGGCUGAGCUUGCUCUUCUUCAGCUACAACAACGUGUACGUGUACUUCAACGCUGUCAGGGACUGCUACGAGGCGUUCGUUAUCUACAACUUCCUCAGUCUGUGCUACGAGUACCUGGGAGGAGAAGGAUCUAUAAUGUCGGAGAUACGUGGUAAACCAAUUCGUUCCAGCUGCUGGUAUGGAACAUGCUGGAUACAGGCACAGUCAUACAACAUUGGAUUCCUCAGGUUCUGCAAACAAGGAACCCUGCAGUUCUGUAUAAUCAAGCCUCUCACUUCUUUCCUGGUCAUCAUCCUUCAGGCGUUUGAUCUGUACUACGACGGGAACUGGUCACCAAACCAGGGCUACCUGUACACCACCCUCAUCAACAACAUGAGCAUCUCCAUCGCCCUGUACGCUCUCUUCCUCUUCUACUUCGCCACCCACGAUCUUCUUCGGCCCUUUACUCCGGUGAUCAAGUUCUUCACGAUCAAGGCGAUCAUCUUCCUGUCGUUCUGGCAAGGGUUCAUCCUGGCGGUCCUGGAGAAGCUCGAGCUCAUCUCAUCGAUUAGGUGGGAGCAUGGUGGAACUGAGACUAAAUCCUCCAGUGUAUCUGCAGGAUACCAGAACUUCAUCAUCUCGAUAGAGAUGCUGUUUGCCGCUAUAGCGCUUCGUUACGCGUUCCCGAUCUCAGCUUACAUGACCUCGACCUUUAACAGUGGACGGGAGGGAGUAGGUAGAUCUGUUACUAUGCAGAGUAUAUCCAACACACUCAAGGAAACCAUUAAUCCCAGGGAUAUUAUGACCGACGCUAUUCACAACUUCCACCCACAGUACCAGCAGUACACGCAGUACAGCAGUGCAGGAGGAAGCUACAAGGACCCAGGAUCAGUUGAAAAACCAGCAAAGCAUGAAUAUUAAUGGGUGAACCAGUUUUGGAAUCAUUUUCAAGAACCAAAAAUGUUUACAAAAGGGAAAAGAACGGAGGAACAGGGACCCAGAAACCUGGAGCCAGACCUAAGGACGGAGAAAAAUCUCUCCUCCUCUCAUCUGAU